GCGGCCGGGCCGUGUCCUGCUCGCACCCGAGCGCGCGCUCCUCCCUCGCUGGAGCCGGGGGGCCAGGGGCCGCACCCGCAGGUGGGGUGAGCAGGGAAUCCGCAGGUGGGGUGAGCAGGGAAUCCGCAGGCUUCAGCGGCGGGGGUUGACCGGCAGCUGGCGUCGAGAGGCGCUUGGGAAAUGGGGUCUAAUUUAUUUUAGACCCUGUCCCCGACUGCCGCGCCCUGACUGGCACCCCCUUUCUUAAAGGGUGGUGGGCUCGAGGUGGGUGAGGUUCCGGUUAAGCAGGAGCCUUUUCAGGUUGAAGGAGAGUGGGUCACCCACUUCCCAGGACACGGAGAUGAGAUCUCUACGACAGGGAGGCAGAUGGAG
rnacentral:lncRNA from 1 species